GGGAAUAUUGCACAAUGGGCGAAAGCCUGAUGCAGCGACGCCGCGUGAGUGAAGAAGCGCCUCGGCGCGUAAAGCUCUGUCAGCAGGAACGAUAAUGACGGUACCUGAAGAAGAAGCCCCGGCUAACUACGUGCCAGCAGCCGCGGUAAUACGUAGGGGGCUAGCGUUAUCCGGAAUUACUGGGCGUAAAGGGUGCGUAGGUGGUUUCUUAAGUCAGAGGUGAAAGGCUACGGCUCAACCGUAGUAAGCCUUUGAAACUGGGGAACUUGAGUGCAGGAGAGGAGAGUGGAAUUCCUAGUGUAGCGGUGAAAUGCGUAGAUAUAUGGAGGAACACCAGUGGCGAAGGCGGCUCUCUGGUCUGUAACUGACGCUGAGGCUCGAAAGCGUGGGGAGC
rnacentral:rRNA from 1 species